AAAGCCUGAUCCAGCCAUGCCGCGUGAGUGAUGAAGGCCCUAGGGUUGUAAAGCUCUUUCAACGGUGAAGAUAAUGACGGUAACCGUAGAAGAAGCCCCGGCUAACUUCGUGCCAGCAGCCGCGGUAAUACGAAGGGGGCUAGCGUUGUUCGGAAUUACUGGGCGUAAAGCGCACGUAGGCGGAUUGUUAAGUUAGGGGUGAAAUCCCAGGGCUCAACCCUGGAACUGCCUUUAAUACUGGCAAUCUCGAGUCCGAGAGAGGUGAGUGGAAUUCCGAGUGUAGAGGUGAAAUUCGUAGAUAUUCGGAGGAACACCAGUGGC
rnacentral:rRNA from 1 species